GACGAACGCUGGCGGCGUGCUUAACACAUGCAAGUCGAGCGGAAAGGCCCUUCGGGGUACUCGAGCGGCGAACGGGUGAGUAACACGUGAGUAAUCUGCCCUUCACUCUGGGAUAGCCACCGGAAACGGUGAUUAAUACCGGAUACGACCACCGUGGGCAUCCACUGGUGGUGGAAACUUAUUUGGGUGGGGGAUGUGCUCGCGGCCUAUCAGCUUGUGGGUGGGGUAAUGGCCUACCAAGGCUUCGACGGGUAGCCGGCCUGAGAGGGUGACCGGCCACACUGGGACUGAGACACGCCCCAGCCUCCUACGGGAGGCAGCAGUGGGGAAUAUUGGACAAUGGGCGGAAGCCUGAUCCAGCAACGCCGCGUGAGGGAUGACGGCCUUCGGGUUGUAAACCUCCUUCAGUACCGACGAAGCGCAAGUGACGGUAGGUACAGAAGAAGCACCGGCCAACUACGUGCCAGCAGCCGCCGUAACAC
rnacentral:rRNA from 1 species